rnacentral:rRNA from 1 species
ACGGGAGGCAGCAGUGGGGGAUAUUGGACAAUGGAGGAAACUCUGAUCCAGCGACGCCGCGUGAGUGAAGAAGUAUUUCGGUAUGUAAAGCUCUAUCAGCAGGGAAGAAAAAGCGCAAGCAUUGACUGUACCUGACUAAGAAGCCCUGGCUAACUACGUGCCAGCAGCCGCGGUAAUACGUAGGGGGCAAGCGUUAUCCGGAUUUACUGGGUGUAAAGGGAGCGUAGACGGUAUGGCAAGUCUGGUGUGAAAACCCGGGGCUCAACCCCGGAACUGCUUUGGAAACUGUUUAACUAGAGUGCAGGAGAGGUAAGCGGAAUUCCUAGUGUAGCGGUGAAAUGCGUAGAUAUUAGGAGGAACACCAGUGGCGAAGGCGGCUUACUGGACUGUAACUGACGUUGAGGCUCGAAAGCGUGGGGAGCAAACAGGAUUAGAUACCCUGGUA